rnacentral:rRNA from 1 species
GAUGAACGCUAGCUACAGGCUUAACACAUGCAAGUCGAGGGGAAACGACAUCGAAAGCUUGCUUUUGAUGUGCGUCGACCGGCGCACGGGUGAGUAACGCGUAUCCAACCUGCCCAUCACUUGGGAAUAACCUUGCGAAAGUAAGACUAAUACCCAAUGAUAUCCCACGAAGGCAUCGGAAUGGGAUUAAAGAUUUAUCGGUGAUGGAUGGGGAUGCGUCUGAUUAGCUUGUUGGCGAGGUAACGGCCCACCAAGGCAACGAUCAGUAGGGGUUCUGAGAGGAAGGUCCCCCACAUUGGAACUGAGACACGGUCCAAAAUCCUACGGGAGGCAGCAGUGAGGAAUGUUGGUCAAUGGGCGAGAGCCUGAAACAGCCAAGUAGCGUGCAGGAAGACGGCCCUAUGGGUUGUAAACUGCUUUUAUAAGGGAAUAAAGUGGGUAACGUGUGACUUUUUGCAUGUACCUUAUGAAUAAGGACCGGCUAAUUCCGUG